GAUGAACGCUAGCUACAGGCUUAACACAUGCAAGUCGAGGGGCAGCAUUUUUAUAGCAAUAUAAAAGAUGGCGACCGGCGCACGGGUGAGUAACACGUAUCCAACCUGCCGAUAACUCGGGGAUAACCCUUCGAAAGAAGGCCUAAUACCCGAUGGCAUAUCCCUUCCGCCUGGUUGGGAUAUUAAAGAACUUCGGUUAUCGAUGGGGAUGCGUUCCAUUAGCUGGUUGGUGAGGUAACGGCUCACCAAGGCAACGAUACAUAGGGGGACUGAGAGGUUAACCCCC
rnacentral:rRNA from 1 species